rfam:Solanum tuberosum cultivar DM 1-3 516 R44 scf00451_37, whole genome shotgun sequence.
UACUUGGUUGAUCCUGCUAGUAGUCAUAUGGUUGUCUCAGAGAUUAAGCCAUGCAUGUGUAAGUAUAAACAAAUUUAUACUGUGAAAUUACGAAUGGCUCAUUCAAUCAGUUAUAGUUUGUUUGAUGGUAUCUACUACUCGGAUAACCAUAGUAAUUCUAGAGCUAAUAUGUGCAAAAAACAACGACAUGUGGAAGAGAUACAUUUAUUAGAUGGAAGGUCGACGCGGGAUCUCCCCAUUAUCGCGAUGAUUCAUGAUAACUCGACGGAUCGCACGACCAUCGUGAUGGUGAUGCAUCAUUCAAAUUUCUGCCCUAUCAACUUUCGAUGGUAGGAUAGUGGCCUACCAUGGUAGUGACAGGUGAUGGAGAAUUAGGGUUCGAUUCCUGAGAGGGAGCCUGAGAAAUGACUCCCACAUCCAAUGAAGGCCGUAGGUGCGCAAAUUACCCAACUCUGACACGGGGAGGUAGUGACAAUAAAUAACAGUACUGGGCUGUACGAGUUUGGUAAUUGAAAUGAGUACAAUCUAUAUCCCUUAACGAGGAUCCAUUGGAGGGCAAGUCAAGUGCUAGCAGUUGCGGUAAUUCCAGCUCCAAUAGCGUAUAUUUAAGUUGUUGUAGUUAAAAACCUCGUAGUUGGAAUUUGGGAUGGGUCGGUUGGUUCGUCCUAGGUGUGCACCGGUCGUCUCAUCCCUUCUGUAGGCGAUGCGCUCCUGGCCUUAAUUGGCUGGGUUGUGCCUCCAGCGAUUUUACUUUGAACAAAUUAGAAGGCUCAAAGCAAGCCUACGCUCUGUGUACAUUAGCACGGGAUAAAAUUAUAGGGUUUCGGUCCUAUUACAUUUUGCCUUCGGGAUCAAAUUAAUGAUUAACAGGGACCGUCGGGGGCAUUCGUUUUUUCAUAGUCAGAGGUGAAAUUUUUAGAUUUAUGAAAGACGAACGACUACGAAAGCAUUUUCCAAGGAUGUUUAAUUUAAUCAAGAACGAAAGUUUGGGGCUCGAAGACGAUCAUAUACCGUCCUAGUCUCAACCAAAAAUGAUGCCGACCAGGGAUUGGCAGAUGUUGCUUUUAGGACUCCGCCGGCACCUUAUGAGAAAUCAAAGUUUUCUGGUUUCUUUGGAGGGGGUGUAUUGUCGCAAGACUGAAACUUAAAGGAAUUGAUGGAAGGGCACCACCAGGAGUGUAGCCUGCGGCUUAAUUUGACUAAACACGGGGAAACUUACCAGGUCCAUACAUAGUAAGGAUUGACAAACUAAGAGCUCUUUCUUGAUUCUAUGGGUGGUGGUGCAUGGCCCUUCUUAGUUGGUGGAGCUAUUUGACUGGUUAAUUCAGUUAACGAACGAGACCUCAGCCUAAUAACUAUCUAUGUGGUGGUAUCCCUUCGCGGCCAACUUCUUAGAGGGACUAGGUCCUUUUAGGAUGCGGAAGUUUGAGGCAACAACAGGUUUGUGACGCCCUUAGAUGUUCUCGGCCGAACACGUGCUACACGGAUGUAUUCAACGAGCUUAUAGCAUUGGCCGAAACGCCUGGGUAAUCUUUGAAAUUUCAUAGUGAUGGGGAUAAAUCAUUGCAAUUAUUGGUCUUCAACGAGGAAUACCUAUUAAGCGCGAGUCAUCAGCUCGCGUUGACUAUGUCCAUGCCCUUUAUACACACCGCCCGUUGCUCCUACCGAUUGAAUGAUUAGGUGAAAUGUUUAGAUUGCGGCGACAUGGGCGGUUCGGUUCCCGCAACAUCAUGAGUAGUCCAUUGAACAUUAUCAUUUAGAGGAAGGAGAAGUCGUAACAAGGUUUUUGUAGUUGAACCUGCGGAAGGAUCAUUG